GACGAACGCUGGCGGCGUGCCUAAUACAUGCAAGUCGAACGCAGUGGGGACGGGUGAGUAACACGUGGGUAACCUCCCAUCAGAGGGGAUAACACUUGCAAACAGGUGCUAAACCGAUACUGAUGGAUGGACCCGCGGUGCAUUAGCUAGUUGGAGGGGUAACGGCCCACAAAGGCGAAGAGCAAUAGCCGGUCUGAGAGGAGGAACGGCCACAUUGGGACUGAGACACGGCCCAGACUCCUACGGGAGGCAGCAGUGGGGAAUCUUCCACAAUGGGCGAAAGCCUGAUCCAGCCAUGCCGCGUGUGUGAAGAAGGUCUUCGGAUUGUAAAGCACUUUAAGUUGGGAGGCGUUACCUACAGAAUAAGCACCGGCUAACUUCGUGCCAGCAGCCGCGGUAAUUC
rnacentral:rRNA from 1 species